UACGGGGGGAGCAAGCGUUGUUCGGAUUUACUGGGCGUAAAGGGCGCGUAGGCGGCCAGCGCAAGUCAGUUGUGAAAUCUCCGGGCUUAACUCGGAACGGUCAACUGAUACUGCGCGCUAGAGUGCAGAAGGGGCAACUGGAAUUCUCGGUGUAGCGGUGAAAUGCGUAGAUAUCGAGAGGAACACCUGCGGCGAAGGCGGGUUGCUGGGCUGACACUGACGCUGAUGCGCGAAAGCCAGGGGAGCGAACGGG
rnacentral:rRNA from 1 species